GUGACAACCUGCUAGAUGACCUGCAGAAGCUCAAGCAGAGGCUGCAAGAGGAGAUCCAGCUGAAGGAGGAGGCUGAGAACAACUUGGCUGCUUUCAGAGCUGACGUGGACGCGGCUACACUGGCACGCAUCGACCUGGAGAGACGCAUCGAGUCCCUGCAGGAGGAGAUCGCCUUCCUCAAGAAGGUGCACGAAGAGGAAAUCCGCGAGCUGCAGGCUCAGCUACAGGAGCAGCACAUCCAGGUGGAGAUGGACAUCUCCAAGCCCGACCUGACAGCCGCGCUGCGGGACAUCCGCGCG
rnacentral:misc_RNA from 1 species